UACGUAGGUAGCGAGCGUUGUUCGGAGUUACUGGGCGUAAAGCGUGCGUAGGCGGUCCCACAAGUCUGUUGUGAAAUCUCCCGGCUCAACUGGGAGGGUGCGGUGGAAACUGUGGGGCUGGAGUGUGGGAGAGGUAGGCGGAAUUCCUGGUGUAGCGGUGAAAUGCGUAGAUAUCAGGAGGAACACCUGCGGUGUAGACGGCUUACUGGACCACUACUGACGCUGAGGCACGAAAGCGUGGGGAGCAAACAGG
rnacentral:rRNA from 1 species